rnacentral:rRNA from 1 species
UACGUAGGGUGCAGGCGUUAAUCGGAAUUACUGGGCGUAAAGAGCUCGUAGGUGGUUUGUCGCGUUGUCCGUGAAAACUCACAACUCAAUUGUGGGCGUGCGGGCGAUACGGGCAGACUGGAGUACUGCAGGGGAGACUGGAAUUCCUGGUGUAGCGGUGGAAUGCGCAGAUAUCAGGAGGAACACCGGUGGCGAAGGCGGGUCACUGGUCUGGUACUGACGCUGAGGUGCGAAAGCGUGGGGAGCAAACAGG